rnacentral:lncRNA from 1 species
AUGAUGGGUUCCGACCCACGUCAUUGGAAGGGACGGAGACAACAGAGAAGGGUCAUUUCUGACGCAGCGGUUCCAGGACACGGGGCCCAGGCGGUCCUCGGAGACCCCGGGGCAGCCCGCGAGCCAGGCACGGAGGACAGGGAGCUGCCAGGCAGUGGCACCAACCCCAGCUUCGGUCCAUGGUGCCCCGGGGCGCUCCACGGUCUCUCUAACCGGCAGGAACAGAGAAAUGGGAAGUCCAGGCAGCCAGGGGGCCCGGGACACCCUCCCGUGAACACGGUCGCAGAAGGCCUGGCGGCAGAGAAGAUUCCGAGUACGUGUGCGACAAAAGCGACAGAAGACCUACUGACAGCCGCCGGAGGACAGCGGAAAGCCCAGGAUAUGCAGAGGGGAAACCCAGAGCCCAACAACGUGAAACACCGUGAAACACACGCCAGCAGAGGAAGCCACCCACAAGCUGGACGGAUGCCGCAUGGCCCCCAUGGCAGCAGGCGGGGCCCGCCUGUCCCCACAGCCCCGAGUGGGCGCCUGAGUUCUAGGACCGCAAGCAAGAUGCUCUCACAGAGCUGGAGUUCACGGUCUUCCGUGGGUUGACGUCUGUAAGCGCCCUGCGCGCACGCUGUCACCAUCCCCCGGCAUCCCGAUGGCCCACGUCUCUGCUCAUCCAGCCCUCACGGCACUCCCAGGAGGUGAGCACUCAUGAGAUUCACUUUACAGAUGAGGAAACUGAGGCACAGAGAGGUCACGCAACUUGCCCGAAGUCACGCAGCGAGGAAGCCGCAGAAUCAGAACUCUAACCCGGGCACCCACCUGCACAACCACCGCCUCCAUAAACAGGGCCUGCGUCCCAAGCAACCGGGAUGCCCAACGGAGCAGAAAUGCCUGUCCUCUCUUCCCACGGAAAGGCGGUGUCCCCGGCGGCUGACAUCACGGGCCCCCAGCCGGGGAGACCGGCUCCAGCUGAUAAGACGCUGCCUGCGGGGACCCUGCUGAAAGCCGCCUCCUCCGGUCUGGCUAGAUGGGGAACAUCUGCGCAGACCCGCCCUUCGGGCCGGGAGGCCGGGAUGUCACACCCGCCCGCCCAGUUCUUCAGCUCAAACAUGACAUUUAAAGUACAAACACUCAGCUCUCGAGCCCUAGUGAGAUGGCGACAAUUAGCUGUGAGUAGGACAUUCUUGCCAUAAAAACGUGGAACGACGCGGAAGCAGAGCCGGGAAAGGGAGGUUGGCCGUCGUCCCCACCCCACGCCCGGGGCCGACGGCCCUUCUGAUGGCUGCAGGCUCCACACGCUGCCACACAGCUGACACCCAAGGGUGCCACCACUUGUUUCUGUCACGCGGGGCCCUCUGCCAGGGGCUGAAGGUUCCCGUGCCGCCGAGCUCCCGGGCUGGCACCUGAUCCCCGAGGGACGGCAGGAAGUGGGGCCUGUGGAGGGGACUCCCCGGGCUGGGGUCAGUGCCCUUAGGAAAGAGACCCGGAGUGUCCCUGCCAUCCCCACUGUCCCCACUGUCCCUGCCACGAGGACCCAGAGAAGCCGCCAGCCGUGAGGCCGGAAGGGGCUUCCCCGACGCCAAGCCCGGGCAUCCUGGUCCGG